UCCCUCCUUUUUCCGUAUGUGUAGUGCAAAUAAUAAAAACUGGCAAUAGGUAAAGGUAAAAGCAACAUGUAAGUGUAUUGGGGGGAUAAAUUUACAAAUCAGGGAACGGGUAAUUGUGAAUAAACAGUAACUAGAUAAACAAUACAAAACAGUGAAACGGCAGCUUUAAAACAGGAGCAUGAAGCUCAGGCCCAAAAUACAAGUCACCCUGGCAAUAACAUAUAUAAACUCUCAACUGAGAAAACUCAGUUUAUCUCAUUAUGUUGUCAGCACGUCUGUGGCGGCGGUGAAGUCCAGGACCUACACUCGUUGGGUAAUUGGAACCCGCAGAGGAGGAGCACUGGAGAGUCCCUCAGUGUCUCAGAGUGGAAGAAGCGGACCGAAACCCUCUGGUGAUGUUGUAUCCAGGAAUAGGAGCAGAGGCCGAAUGUUCCAUACCACUUCCUUUGAAGCCACAAGAAACUACAGACUGUUCCCGUGUCUAAGGGUUCACAGGACCCUGUCAACAGUUACCAGUCAAAGGUAUCCAGGAGAGCCAUCCCAUAUAUCUACUCAUUUCUAUCUUUCUUUCAUCUUCUAAGUUGUCUUUGACCAGUUCAUCUUUCCUUGACAUUAUCUCUCUGCCCGAUCAUUGAGCCCCUGGAGGAGGAUGGCAGAAGAAUCGUGGCAAAUACUGCAGAGGGCUUGCUCUGGUCAAAUGUCCUUUAAAAAAGGGUUAUAAUAUAAGAUAAAAUAUUCUUAAUUAUCUGGUCUUUAAUUCAGACUAUAUGUUUCAGCUAUGCAGUGGAGUUUUAAAAGACCAAAGACUGUAUUUUAUGAAUGGGCUUGGAAGGAUUAGAUUUGUAUCAGUAGACAUCAGUAAAUGUCAAUUUCACUGUACACCCACAAACCGACAAAACAAUACUUCCAUCAGUAAUAAUCAAAAUUUACAGAUAAGCAAAGUAAGAAUAAUGCUGCUUGAGAACUUCUUAGACUUUGAUUUAAGGAGAGAUUUAUUUUGUAUGAUUUGACACAUGAUAUUGACAAUUUGUGUUUCAACGGUUAUAAACCUUUACCUUUUUGAAGCUCAGCAUUUACUAUCAUUAAAUAAUUAUUGUCUGAACCCUCUUAAUUUUCCAGAACUGUGAAAAUUUUAAUUGAUAACAAUAGAAAAAAUCCUUAAAACCCAUAAUUUUGCACAACUGUGAAAAUGUACAUAAAUAAAAAAAUAUUAACAAUAAACA
rnacentral:lncRNA from 1 species